rnacentral:rRNA from 1 species
UACGGGGGGGGUAAGCGUUGUUCGGAAUUACUGGGCGUAAAGGGCUCGUAGGCGGCCAACUAAGUCAGACGUGAAAUCCCUCAGCUUAACUGGGGAACUGCGUCUGAUACUGGAUGGCUUGGAUUCGGGAGAGGAAUGCGGAAUUCCAGGUGUAGCGGCGAAAUGCGUAGAUAUCUGGAGGAACACCGGUGGCGAAGGCGGCAUUCUGGACCGAUAUUGACGCUGAGGAGCGAAAGCCAGGGGAGCAAACAGG